rnacentral:rRNA from 1 species
GACGAACGCUGGCGGCGUGCCUAAUACAUGCAAGUAGAACGCUGAAGAGAGGAGCUUGCUCUUCUUGGAUGAGUUGCGAACGGGUGAGUAACGCGUAGGUAACCUGCCUUGUAGCGGGGGAUAACUAUUGGAAACGAUAGCUAAUACCGCAUAGCAAUGGAUGACACAUGUCAUUUAUUUGAAAGGGGCAAUUGCUCCACUACAAGAUGGACCUGCGUUGUAUUAGCUAGUAGGUGAGGUAACGGCUCACCUAGGCGACGAUACAUAGCCGACCUGAGAGGGUGAUCGGCCACACUGGGACUGAGACACGGCCCAGACUCCUACGGGAGGCAGCAGUAGAGAAUCUUCGGCAAUGGGGGCAACCCUGACCGAGCAACGCCGCGUGAGUGAAGAAGGUUUUCGGAUCGUAAAGCUCUGUUGUAAGUCAAGAACGAGUGUGAGAGUGGAAAGUUCACACUGUGACGGUAGCUUACCAGAAAGGGACGGCUAACUACGUGCCAGCAGCCGCGGUAAUACGUAGGUCCCGAGCGUUGUCCGGAUUUAUUGGGCGUAAAGCGAGCGCAGGCGGUUUGAUAAGUCUGAAGUUAAAGGCUGUGGCUCAACCAUAGUUCGCUUUGGAAACUGUCAAACUUGAGUGCAGAAGGGGAGAGUGGAAUUCCAUGUGUAGCGGUGAAAUGCGUAGAUAUAUGGAGGAACACCGGUGGCGAAAGCGGCUCUCUGGUCUGUAACUGACGCUGAGGCUCGAAAGCGUGGGGAGCGAACAGGAUUAGAUACCCUGGUAGUCCACGCCGUAAACGAUGAGUGCUAGGUGUUGGAUCCUUUCCGGGAUUCAGUGCCGCAGCUAACGCAUUAAGCACUCCGCCUGGGGAGUACGACCGCAAGGUUGAAACUCAAAGGAAUUGACGGGGGCCCGCACAAGCGGUGGAGCAUGUGGUUUAAUUCGAAGCAACGCGAAGAACCUUACCAGGUCUUGACAUCCCGAUGCUAUUUCUAGAGAUAGAAAGUUACUUCGGUACAUCGGUGACAGGUGGUGCAUGGUUGUCGUCAGCUCGUGUCGUGAGAUGUUGGGUUAAGUCCCGCAACGAGCGCAACCCCUAUUGUUAGUUGCCAUCAUUCAGUUGGGCACUCUAGCGAGACUGCCGGUAAUAAACCGGAGGAAGGUGGGGAUGACGUCAAAUCAUCAUGCCCCUUAUGACCUGGGCUACACACGUGCUACAAUGGUUGGUACAACGAGUUGCGAGUCGGUGACGGCAAGCUAAUCUCUUAAAGCCAAUCUCAGUUCGGAUUGUAGGCUGCAACUCGCCUACAUGAAGUCGGAAUCGCUAGUAAUCGCGGAUCAGCACGCCGCGGUGAAUACGUUCCCGGGCCU